rnacentral:rRNA from 1 species
AAGACCUUGCGCUUUCGGAGCGGCCGAUGCCUGAUUAGCUUGUUGGUAAGGUAAAAGCUUACCAAGGCUUCGAUCAGUAGCUGGUCUGAGAGGACGGCCAGCCACACUGGGACUGAGACACGGCCCAGACUCCUACGGGAGGCAGCAGUGGGGAAUUUUGGACAAUGGGGGCAACCCUGAUCCAGCCAUGCCGCGUGAGUGAAGAAGGCCUUCGGGUUGUAAAGCUCUUUCAGCCGGAACGAAACGGUUACGGUUAAUACCCGUGAUUACUGACGGUACCGGAAGAAGAAGCACCGGCUAACUACGUGCCAGCAGCCGCGGUAAUACGUAGGGUGCGAGCGUUAAUCGGAAUUACUGGGCGUAAAGCGUGCGCAGGUGGUUUUGUAAGUCAGAUGUGAAAGCCCCGGGCUCAACCUGGGAACU